AUCACGGAGAGUUUGAUCGUGGCUCAGGAUGAACGCUGGCGGCGUGCCUAAUACAUGCAAGUCGAGCGAUGAGGCUCCUUCGGGGGCCAUCAGCGGCGAACGGGUGAGUAACACGUGGGCGACCUGCCCCGAAGAUGGGAAUAACCUUUGGAAACGAGGGCUAAUACCCAAUGGUCUCGGUAGUUCGUUCUAUCGAGUAAAGCUCCGGCGCUUCGGGAGGGGCCUGCGGCCCAUCAGCUAGUUGGUAGGGUAACGGCUUACCAAGGCGAUGACGGGUAGGGGGCGUGAGAGCGUGAUCCCCCACACUGGCACUGAGAUACGGGCCAGACUCCUACGGGAGGCAGCAGUAAGGAAUAUUGCGCAAUGAGCGAAAGCUAGACGCAGCGACGCCGCGUGGGCGAUGAAGGCCUUCGGGUUGUAAAGCCCUUUUAUGGGGGAAGAGGAAGGACGGUACCCCAGGAAUAAGUCCCGGCUAACUACGUGCCAGCAGCCGCGGUAAAACGUAGGGGACAAGCGUUAUCCGGAUUCACUGGGCGUAAAGAGCGUUGAGGCGGUUCUGUAAGUUGGACGUGAAAGCCCUGGGCUUAACUCGGGGAGGUCGUUCAAUACUGCAGGACUUGAGGGCAGCAGGGGGAGGUAGAAUUUCCGGUGUAGUGGUGAAAUGCGUAGAUAUCGGAAGGAAUACCCGUGGCGAAGGCGGCCUCCUGGGCUGCCCCUGACGCUGAAGGCGAAAGCUAGGGUAGCAAACGGGAUUAGAUACCCCGGUAGUCCUAGCUGUAAACGAUGGAUGCUGGGUGUGGGGGGUGUAAAUUCCCUC
rnacentral:rRNA from 1 species